rnacentral:rRNA from 1 species
GGGUAUCCCUGGAAGUACAUUUUUCUGAGUAUCGUUUCACACUCCUCUGCACUGCGUAAGUGGUGUCAAAGGGUUAUGAGCUGUUUGAGUCUGAACCACUCAAUCGCUUGAAACAUAUGUCAGCUUCAGAAUCAUCCAUUCGAAAUUUCUUUAACCGGAAGUUUUCGGGUCGACGAUGUUUGAUAAUUGACCUUUGGUCAUAACUACUAUCACAUCGUUCGAUUGUGUUGAUUUCUCUGGAGUCGAUUCAAGGAACCUUGAAAAAAAACGACAAGCAAUUGUCCUUUUUUUCUAUCUCUUGAUCUCAGAUAAAGUAAGAGAACCCGCCGAAUUUAAGCAUAUUAUUAAGCGGAGGAAAAGAAACUAACAAGGAUUCCCCUAGUAACGGCGAGUGAAGCGGGAAGAGCUCAAAGUUAAAAUCGGGGUACUGAGAGGUGCUUCCGAAUUGUAAUCUAGAGACACUUUUUCAGCUUCGACCCGGGUAUAAAUCUUUUGAAACAAGGUGUCAUAGAGGGUGAGAAUCCCGUCUUUGAUCCGGAGUUCGGGGCGUACGAA